rnacentral:rRNA from 1 species
UGGGGAAUAUUGGACAAUGGACCAAGAGUCUGAUCCAGCAAUUCUGUGUGCACGAUGAAGUUUUUCGGAAUGUAAAGUGCUUUCAGUUGGGAAGAAAAAAAUGACGGUACCAACAGAAGAAGUGACGGCUAAAUACGUGCCAGCAGCCGCGGUAAUACGUAUGUCACGAGCGUUAUCCGGAUUUAUUGGGCGUAAAGCGCGUCUAGGUGGUUAUGUAAGUCUGAUGUGUGAAAAUGCAGGGCUCAACUCUGUAUUGCGUUGGAAACUGUAUAACUAGAGUACUGGAGAGGUAAGCGGAACUACAAGUGUAGAGGUGAAAUUCGUAGAUAUUUGUAGGAAUGCCGAUGGGGAAGCCAGCUUACUGGACAGAUACUGACGCUGAAGUGCGAAGGCGUGGGUAGCAAAAAAAAAUUACAUNCCCUGNCCCCCCACGCCAUAAAANNAUGAUUACUAGGUGUUGGGGGUCGAACCUCAGCGCCCAAGCGAACGCGAUAAGUAAUCCGCCUGGGGAGUACGUACGCAAGUAUG